AUGACUUUCAUCAUCAUCUUCAUCUGGACACUCACAGUCUUUACUCAAGUGUGUAGAGGACAGUACACUGUUACUCAAAGUCCAUCAAUAACAGUUCAACCAGGACAACAAGUUCAAAUAAACUGUAAAGUCAGCAGUGCAGUGUAUGGUGGAAAUCGUUUAGCCUGGUACUUACAGAAACCUGGAGAAGCUCCUAAACUCCUCAUAUAUAGAGCAACAAGCCUCUAUACAGGAACUCCAUCAAGAUUCAGUGGCAGCGGAUCAAACACAGAUUUCACUUUGACCAUCAGUGGAGUUCAGACUGAAGAUUCAGGAGAUUAUUACUGUCAGAGUUUUCACUAUCCAAGUAGCACUAAUGUGUUGACACAGUGAUAAAGAGUGAUACAAAAACCUCUGACAGUCAGACUGCACAGUGACUGCACUCAUACACCUGACAGAUACUGCAGAUGAUCAUACAACACAAUAACACACAACACUGAUCACACAAAUAACACAACAUCAUCUUAUGAUCAACAGAAAUCAUGCUAAGGGCAGGUAUGUAUUUAUUUAUGAUAAGAUAAACACAGAUUAUUUUAACCUCCCUCUGUUUAUACUGCGUAUGCAUCAAACCAUAUUCAGACUCCUCAACUUCAAAUGAGAAUAAAAGAG